AAACAACUGCGGACGCGGAU
rnacentral:rRNA from 1 species